rnacentral:rRNA from 1 species
UACGUACGAGGCGAGCGUUAUCCGGAAUUAUUGGGCGUAAAGCGCGCGCAGGUGGCUUUUAAGUAGGGCGUGAAUCUCCCGGCCUAACUGGGAGGGGUCGCCCUAGACUGGGGAGCUUGAGGCUGGCAGAGGUAGGUGGAAUUCCUGGUGUAGUGGUGAAAUGCGUAGAGGAUCAGGAGGAACACCGGUGGCGAAGGCGGCCUAC